rnacentral:rRNA from 1 species
UGCCGCGUGUGUGAAGAAGGCCUUUUGGUUGUAAAGCACUUUAAGCGAGGAGGAGGCUACCGAGAUUAAUACUCUUGGAUAGUGGACGUUACUCGCAGAAUAAGCACCGGCUAACUCUGUGCCAGCAGCCGCGGUAAUACAGAGGGUGCAAGCGUUAAUCGGAUUUACUGGGCGUAAAGCGCGCGUAGGUGGCCAAUUAAGUCAAAUGUGAAAUCCCCGAGCUUAACUUGGGAAUUGCAUUCGAUACUGGUUGGCUAGAGUAUGGGAGAGGAUGGUAGAAUUCCAGGUGUAGCGGUGAAAUGCGUAGAGAUCUGGAGGAAUACCGAUGGCGAAGGCAGCCAUCUGGCCUAAUACUGACACUGAGGUGCGAAAGCAUGGGGAGCAAACAGGAUUAGAUACCCUGGUAGUCCAUGCCGUAAACGAUGUCUACUAGCCGUUGGGGCCUUUGAGGCUUUAGUGGCGCAGCUAACGCGAUAAGUAGACCGCCUGGGGAGUACGGKCGCAAGACUAAAA